CAAACUUCUGACAUCUCUGCCAUCUGUUGGUGACGGUCGUACCCAGCAGUACCACUGACUGCAGUUUCCAAAGUCACGCUGGAUGUGCAAAGUGGUGCCUCAUUUCCAGGCCAGGUUUCUUUGUUGUUUGUUUUUCCAGGAAUCCCCCAUCCUUUUCUCUCUCGUUUUUAUUCCUUGUUUUAUUCUUCAGCUUCUCGAGGCUGUGUUUUGUGGUUUUUUCUCUUAGCCCUUUCCCAUUCUCCAGCCGGACACGACGCCAGAAGUUAGAGAAAAACCCAUUUCUCCACCUCUCCUUCAAUACACCCAAGGGAUGGGAACUCUCUCCCAAGGGAUGGGAACCUCUUGGCAUGAAGCUGAGUCACCAUCCCUGGAGGUGUUCAAGAACCACGUAAAUGUUGUGCUAAUGGACGUGGUUCAGUGGGGGAAAUGGUGGUGGUGGAUGGUUGCACUGGAUGGUCUUGGAGCUCUUUUCCAACCCUGGUGAUUCUGUGAAACAUCUGGACUUUUCCCCAUGGAAAUAAUUGCUGGGAGUGAUUUGAGGGGCAAAGCUGGCCUAAAUGGUGGGGAAGUCUCCCAUGCUUUAUUCAUUCCAAGCACUGAAUUCAGCGGGAGUUGGGAUGUACCUCGCAAAGGAGGAGCUGAGGUGGAGUGGGAAGUAAAGGUGAGGAUGCAGCAGUGAGAAGAGGCUGAAGGGGCAGUGCAUGAGUGCUGGGGGCUCACGUUUCCAGCCUGCACUGCAAAACUGAUGGGAAGCUCUUAGUCCAACCUCACUAAAACAAACUGGUGUGACCGGCACCUCUGUGUCUGGGAAGCCACUGAUGGGAUCACCAAGGUCACAAAAUGGGGCUCCCUGGGACACAGCCAGCCCCAUCCCUGGGCACACGGGUGGCUGAAUCUACAUUGGGUUUCCUGGAAGGUACUGCUUUGGUGCGAGUCUGAUGAGCAUCUCCAGUGAUGAGCAGCGGGAUGCUGGUGGCUAUGGGAUGCUAGGUGUGGAUGAAGCUGGUUUUUCACCCCCCUCUGCAAAGCAGAGGGACACCCCAGUGAUGUUUCAGUCACCUCAGUGGUGGAGGCAGCAUCCAUAGGACAUCACGACCCCACACAGCUCAUGGUGGGAAGAACCAUGAGCAAGAAAUCUCUCUCUGCUGAUGGCGCGCGAACCUUCUCUGGUGAUACGAGCACUGAUUUGGGAGGAGUGGAGUUUUUUACCCUGGGGCACUCCAGGAGAUCAAACUGAUGGUUUGGUUCAGUUUUAUAGCCAGAAGAGAAAUCUACUGUGCUUACUUUGAAUGCAACACGUGUUCUUUUUUGUUUCCCUAAUCUUCCGGACUAAAAAGGGGCUAAAUGGAGCCUGAAGUAUAAUUUUCAGACAAAGAAAAUAUAAAGAAGAACAGUCAUCGAGGCUGCAUGCUAAUGGAAUAAUAGGACCUGCUGGAGGCAAGUUCAUAAACUGCGGGCUGUGUAAUGGAUCAUCUCCAGUCUCUGCCACUGACUCCUCAAGAGAGACUCAUUGACAUACCUUUGCAUGAAGCAAUUCACUGCUUCUUGGAUCUCCCAUGAUUGUAUGAUUGAAGGAUGACCACGGAUACUGCAGAUCUCCAGAACAGACCACCUCACCCUGACAAACAAAUGCACGUUCCUCCGUAAUUUUCCAACAGGAUUUGCAGUGGGUGGGCACAGGCUGGAGAGCUUGGCAGCAUUUCCAGUAGGGUUGUUUGCUGCAGAAAACACUUAUUUUUAUCCAUGUAUGGAAUAAUUGUCUCCUGGUGUCUGUGAUGAAAUCUGUGAUUUGUGCAGCCACGCUCCCUCUCUCUACAAGCUCUGCACCAACACUCUCUGUACACCCCAAAGCAAGACACCAACGCUGGCUUUAACCAUCCUCCUCUCCAUCCAUAUAAAUCCCUUUCUGUAAACCUACCCCCGGCUCUUCUCAGCCAGAAGAGCAUGUCGUGGAGGGCAGGUCCUACUUCGGCUGGUUGGUUGGUUGGUAGCCUUUUCCCACACUGGUCAGCAACUCCCAGACCAGAGAACCUUAUCUCUGUACCUCCCUGUCCAAAAGGAGAGCCUACGCUGACACCCCCACCCCUCCGACGUGUCCUCAGUGCCCUCUGAUGCGUCCCUGAGGCACAGGAGGCGGCGGAUGGAAUGUUUUCCU
ensembl:lncRNA